AUGGGUAUAACAUUGGACAAAAGAAAAACAACUGAGACCAGAGGAAAGAAGUUUCUGCUGUCUCCGAGGUCUUCCUUAAGAGUGAAUGAUGAACUGACCUUAUUUCUCAGAUCUGGAUGUAAACAUGCCAUCUUUCUACCUGCUGCAUCUGUGACCUCACCAUGCCCAGCAUAAGCUUAUGCUGACCCCAGAGUGUGGCAGUAUUAUUCCAACUCAGUGGUUUGAGAAGAGCUUCCUUUGAGGGUAUUCUAUCAAUGAUUCCAUCUUUCCACUACCCAGGAAGGUCCUUCUCCACCCCAACCUCUUCAUUCCUGAAAUAAAAG
rnacentral:lncRNA from 1 species